rnacentral:tRNA from 1 species
ACUCAUAUAACUUAAGUUUAAAGUUUAAUAUUGAAGAUAUUAAUAUAGGAUCAAUUCCUUAUGGGUA